GAUGAACGCUGGCGGCGUGCCUAACACAUGCAAGUCGAACGGAGCUGCUUUGAUGAAGUUUUCGGAUGGAUUUAAAGCAGCUUAGUGGCGGACGGGUGAGUAACGCGUGGGUAACCUGCCUCACACUGGGGGAUAACAGUUAGAAAUAGCUGCUAAUACCGCAUAAGCGCACAGUUCCGCAUGGAACAGUGUGAAAAACUCCGGUGGUGUGAGAUGGACCCGCGUCUGAUUAGCCAGUUGGCGGGGUAACGGCCCACCAAAGCGACGAUCAGUAGCCGGCCUGAGAGGGUGAACGGCCACAUUGGGACUGAGACACGGCCCAAACUCCUACGGGAGGCAGCAGUGGGGAAUAUUGCACAAUGGGGGAAACCCUGAUGCAGCGACGCCGCGUGAGUGAAGAAGUAUUUCGGUAUGUAAAGCUCUAUCAGCAGGGAAGAAAGUGACGGUACCUGAAUAAGAAGCCCCGGCUAACUACGUGCCAGCCGCCGCAGUAACAC
rnacentral:rRNA from 1 species